rnacentral:lncRNA from 1 species
GCAACAAGAGUAAAACUCCAUUUCAAUAAAUAAAUAAAUUAAUUAAUUAAUUAAUUAACAAAAGCAAACUAAAAAGACACUUCUCAGAGCUACUUUGCUUAUGUCGCUAGUUCAUGGUAGAAGGAAAAUGGUGACUGUAGAAAUGGUCAAACUGGGAUCUUUUUCAGGAAAUGAAACACGUAAUGUAGACUUCUGUGGAAAGCAUCCAUAGACUUAUGUGGAAAGCAUCCAUAGACUUCCGUAGAAAGCAUCUGUAGACUUCCGCAGAAAGCAUCCGUAGACUUCCGUAGAAAGCACUGAUGAUGUUGUAUAAACAGACCAUAAGGAGAUUGAAGCCCUCCAUGUAUUCUGUUUGCCCUUGGAAUAUAUGUGCAUGUGCAUGUGCUUGUGUGUUUAUUUUCAUUUGGGUUUAUGCCCUAUUUUUAAUUUGUAAGCAGAACAAGAGGCAAAGGGCUCUCAUAUGCCCGUAGAAUUAUAUAGUCAGGCUUUUCAGGAAUUUUUUUUUUAAUCCUUCAACAUUUAUCUUUGCAUCAAAAAUAAAUUUUUUAAAAAAAGUAAAUAAGGAUAAAAGAAAAACCGAGUAGGUGGGAGAGAAGGAGGAAUUUGGAGUCAUGGGAAUGGGCAGGUGUUCAGGUGAUUUAAAAGGAGAAGUAAAGGCAUGUUCCUGGAUAAAUGUCGAUAUGCAUUAUUAAAUGAAACAGUGGUAAAAUAUAGACUGUCAGAAGCAUUUUUCUUCCAGAGACAUGAGGAGAAUUGAAAUGCAGUUUCAAAGGAGGAGUCUCUUUCGGUGUUUCUUCAAUCAUUUUUUUGUUUGAAGCUUUAAUUACAGUGCUCCUUGCUACCUAAUGCUUUCAGUUUAAAAUGACAUCACAAAAGAGAGGGGAAGAUGUAAUUGCUCAGAUGAAGGGCAGCCAUCACAGCAGCAUUGAGGUAUUUACUCACCAGGGAGUUCCUGCUACAUGAUUCUUUUCUAGAUCAACAUUUUGUUUUUGGAAUGCUUUUGUAUCAUGCAUAUUUGACAUGGUUUGUCUUUAGAGUGAUUGCUCUGAUACUGCUAUUGCCAGAGCAGAUAAUAACCUUCGGGAAAUAAUGUAUUCUGAAAUAAAGGAACUAGUUAUUUGCAUAGUUUUCUCUGGAUUGGAUAAUGUGUACAGGUGGCUAGUGGCUUCCUAAACGUUUAGUGUUCUAAUCAAAUAAACUUGUAUUUAAAUACAUUAACACAGACCAAUACACGCACAUAGAAGCACAUGUGUACACAUAGAUAGGUGCACAUGCAUGUGUACACAUACAUCACUGUCAUAGCUCUUCAUGCAGAAUACUUUGCUAUUCAGCCCCAUCAACACAUACUUUUUGAAAAUAUGCUCAGCAGAGGGGUACAAGCAUACAGAGGACUCAGACCCCAGUCUCAACUUCUUCACAGUCUGAUGGGGACAGACUUGGGAGCAGAGAUGCUAUGAUGGGGGAGGCUGUGUACAUUGCAGCCUGAAAACAGAGUAGAAGAGGGGCCCUUUCUCCUUCGGGCCCCUGGGAAGACUCCAGGAGGUGAUGGAUGAACUUUGAGCUGGUCAUUGGUGAAAGAACAUGGAUUAGCUGAGCAGAAAAGAAGAAGGAAUACUGGAUGCAGUAAGUAACCACUUUGGGACUAAAUUUACACCAAAAUGAGUAUUAGUUCCUUUGGUUCCAAAUGGUUCAGAUGUUCUUUAAAGGCACUGUUCUUACUGCCCAGAGGAAAGAGAGUGAGCUGAACCAUACAUGCUUGUAGUAAAGAUUGUAUGUAUGUCAUAUAUGUAUAUCUAUAUAUAAUAUAUCUACCCAUGAUUAUACGUUGUCUAUAAAGCCCCUUCACACUUUUUUUUAACCUCAUAGCAGCUCAGCAGGUCAGUUUAAUAUGAUCAUUAUUUUUCAGCUAAGGAAAGGGAGGCUCACAGAGAUACAUGGCCCAGUUUCCCUCCAAUGAUGUUCUGGGACUCACUGCUCUUACUCAGGUCUGUGCUGCCCAUUACCUCCGUGAGGUUAGAUCACAGGUUACAAGUUAGAUCUCUGAUAUCCGGAUCUCCUGAUGGCAUUAGCAGCGUUUAGUCAGUGACUUUCCUGGGCCUGCCUGGAUCACUCUCACUUCAUGUGGAUGAUCUCUCUCAGGAAGCCAUAGAUUUUGAGCAAAAAUGCAGACUUCCCAGAGGCUUUGCCGGGUCCUCCAUCUCACUCCCCUCAAGAAUUUCAACAAAUCUGUUAAUGCUAUUUUGUCAUUUCUGUACUUCAAAGUGUUUCUGCCAGGCAUACCUUGUCUGUCCCAGCUCUGACUCUUUGGGGCUGAGUAGGUUUACUUGUUUAUUUUUUGGUUCUUACAUGUCUCCAACUCCAUGUGGAUUUACAUCCUACUGGGUGAGGUUUUGUUUUUCCUUGUGUCUAUAGGUGAGAAGAUGUGAACAUACAGUUAAUUGAAACUAAGUCUAGAAUCAUGAAGCCAGAAGGAGAAAUGUAUUAGAAUUAGAAAUGACAUCACAGGCCGGGCGCAGUGGCUCAUGACUGUAAUCCCAGCACUUUGGGAGGCUGAGGAGGGCGGAUCACGAGGUCAAGUUCAAGACCAGCCUGGCCAACAUGUUUCAGAAGCUAUCUCCUGAGCAGUGUGUAAUUCUCUCCUGGCUGUUUGAUGGUAAUGGGAGCUGUACAUGUAUCUGGAGAGAGGAGAACCAGCCUGGGGACUCAAGAUAUAUUAAAGACUAUGCUCAUGGACAUCAAUUCUUUCCUGUCCUUUAGGGCAGUAUUCAGGCCACACGGUUCAAUAACGGGAAAGAAUGUCGUCACAUGAUUGCAUCAUGUUCUUCAAAAUGAAAUCUAUUGAACAGUAUAAACAACAAAGAACAUCAUUUGUCAGAAUGACCUGGGGGAAAUAGUCCAGUGAAACUAAGCAAAGGGAACUUUAUACCGUGAGGGAAAAUCAAUGGAUUGUAACAGAACCCUGCAAGAAGAGACAUAGCUUUCAAGUUCCAGAGACCUAGAGGUGACUGAGAAGCAGGAUGUACCAGAAACUGGGCUUCUUGUUCUACUUAUCUAGCGCCCUUUUCACAGUGUUGUAUAUGUAAAUAAAUAAUAAAGCAGUGUGAUUUUUAA